UACGUAGGGUGCGAGCGUUGUCCGGAGUUAUUGGGCGUAAAGCGCGCGUAGGCGGCGUGGUGCGUCGCACGUGAAAGCCCGCGGCUCAACCGCGGAGGGUCGUGCGAGACGGCCGCGCUGGAGGCAGGGAGAGGCUGGUGGAAUUCCCGGAGUAGUGGUGAAAUGCGUAGAGAUCGGGAGGAACACCGGUGGCGCAGGCGGCCAGCUGGAGCUGACCUGACGCUGAGGCGCGACGGCGUGGGGAGCGAACGGG
rnacentral:rRNA from 1 species